CUACAUCUAUGUCAUACAUCACUACGUCUGUGAUACGAGUGUCCCUAUAGUUAUGUCAUACGUCACUGCGUCUGUGAUAUGGGCGUCCCCACAGUUACAUCACAGGUCACUACGUCUGUGACACGGGCAUCCCUACAUCUACCUCAUAGUCACUGCAUCUGUGGUAUGGGUGUCCCCCGAUACGUCAUACGUCACUGCAUCUGAUACGGGCAUUCCUACUUCUAUGUCAUUCGUCUGUGUUGAAGCAUUUCGGGGUAAUGAGGAUGCUUACAACUAUCACCAAGAACUGCCUCAUGCCUCCCUCUGAACCACUGCCACGCAGCAGGCCAGAGCACCCAACUAAGGAAACUCGAGACCAUGAGAAGCCACUGGAAGUCUGUGAGCAGGAGAAUGACAUGUAACAUGACCAAAGAACACAAGGAAUCAGGACUGAAACCUAUCAUAAUUCCAGUCCCUUGGACUCGUGUCCCUGCCCCCAAAUGAAACCAUGCCAGCCAUCAGGACCUGCUCCACUGCUUCAAGGGAAGAGGGAAGAGAAGCUGGAAGAGAGGGAUCAGAAAAGUGCCUCCUGCUUCAUCACACACUGAGCCUGAUCAGGUUCUUUGCAAAUCGCCACCGAGAAGUCGCUGCUCUGGGAAGUGCUGCUCUGCCAUCACUCAUGUCCAGAAACCUGGGACGAGUGUAGCUUUAUCAGGGUUCAUCUGGUGCUUAUCACAGUCUUGCUGAUGGCCGUACAUACUCAGAAGACCCUCAAAACCAAGAACUGGCCACCCCCAUGAGAACCACCCCAAAUCCCAGUUUCCACCAAAGGAGAUUAAAGCAAAGAGCUGUUUUUAGGGA